UAUUUUCUUAUAAAACAAUAUUUAUAGAGUUACCGAUAAAUAAUUUUUAUAGCGUAAAAGCUAAAUAAAUUCAUACAUACUAUAAUACAGAUAACCAAAGUAUAAAUUUAAUUUACAAUGACACGUGGGCCCACGAACGACCAAAACUAAUGAAGGUUAUGAACCUACAGUUUUUGAGGAUACAAGUCCAACUGUAGCCUUCAAAGAAAUGAGCUAUCUACCGACUAUCCUAAGCUUGAAAUUGGUGGAAAUGAGGGUGGUGAGAUUAUAUAAUCCCAGUGAGUAAACAAAUAUUAUCUAAAAUAUCUAAAGCUGAGUAAAUAGAGAUAGAUAAAAUAGUUUAACAUACUGUAAUUUAUCACCUUUCAACUCAUUUCAACCAAAUAAAAUCAAUUCAUAUAAAUCGAGUAAUCAACAUGGCUUAUGAAUUUCUUAAAAGCUUUGGCUCGUGCCAAAAUCAUUCUUAUACUCAGUUAUUAGGGAUACCUUGAUCGAGGGCUAUCCCAACCGAGUUCGCCAAGGCUGAUAAAAAGUUAUGUACGCAUAAAUCAUGUUUUUAUUUUGAAAACAUAGCCGUUCCUUAGCGUUGGCUAAGUUCACCCUCACGUGGUGGUUUAGCGUGAAGUGAACUCUAAAGUGUUAACCUCAAGAGUUAUCCAUCCGCGCCUUUCAUACUGAGGUAUGAAUAUAAUAGGGUUACCGUGCCCCCUCUAAUAGGCUGGUCCACGGAACUCGUCCACUGCAGCGACUAAUCAAUAACCCACCAAUUUAAUAAAAUUCAACAGCAUGACAUGGCAAUUUUAUCAUUAUCUAGCUUAUUAAGGCAAACAACAGUUUAUACAUUUUCAACACAAAUAUCAAUUCAGCCAUUCAUGCUAAUAUUGCCAUAAGCCAAUCAAUUAGAACUAUAAAUUCACAAUACAUCAAAUGGUCUCCAAUUACUCUAUUUUCAAAGCAAUCAUUCAAUUUCAAGACAAUUUAUAAAAUCAUUUCAUUUAAACACAUUUUGUUUAUAAAACAUAAAGAUUUACCAUUUAAACUCAUUUUCCAUAAAAUCACAAAAUCGAAUAAAAACCACUUUAGAUAAUUAAGACGAUAGUAAGGUUACUCACUAUUUUAGGAGUCGAAUUCCGAAUACUCCGAUUCUUGAUCCUCGGGUACUAUUUCUUUACUUUUUCCAGAAUGCUCACCACCUAAACAUAAUGCACAAUAAGCCAUUUACUACAUUUGUGCUAAAUUGUUAUAAAACCAAUUCAGGCUCUAUACUAAUGCAUGAAAUGGAAUGCAAAUUGUUCGGAUUAUCGUCUAAACAUGGUGUUCUACACAAAUUCAAUUGUGUACCCAAAUAAAAUGGUAUUGGCCUAAUUCGAUUUAUCACCCGAUUAAAUGGCCAAUAUGUCCAAUUUAACUCCAAAUAAUUUUAUUUUUCUCCCAAUACUCCAAAUCAUCAAACACAAAUCAAAUAGCAUAAAAUUCAGCAAAAUCAUCUUCACAUUUUCUCAUGGGAAUUUCGGCCAUGGUGGGUGCAUUAACAAUAUAAUUUUUCAAGCUUGAUUCUCACACCAUAAAUCACUAAUUCCUAACCAAAUCACUUGAAAUAAAAUCCAAAUCAUCCUCAAUAUUUCACAUGGAGAAUUCGGCCAAUGAUGGGUGAUGGAAGAACAUGAAUUUUUCUUGCUUGAUUUUCAUGCUACACAUCACCAAUAAACUAAAAACACUAAAAUACAUUGAAAUCUAACCAAAUCAAGCAUCAAAACCUCUCUCUAAGUGUUCAGCCAGCAAGAUACCCAUCAUGAAAUCAUGUGAUUCAACCAUGAAAAAUGCAAAAUAAUGCAUGGGAAAGGUAGAUCACAAGUCAAAAUCAAAAAAUUUUACCUUUGAUUGCUUGAUUACUUGAAAUCCACCAAUUUUCUCUUAAAUUUUCACCCUAGGGUUCUUGUUCUUUCUUUUCUUCCUUUGUUCUUCCUUUGGC
rnacentral:lncRNA from 1 species